GUUAAUCUCAUACUAUGAUCAACAUUCUUAGAUUUUGAUUUGGUUGGUCUAGAAUGUUUCCUAAAUAUAACAUAAUUACAUUCAGUGAUUGAUUUCAAAGCAGAUCAAAAUUUUAGGACUAUUGCUGGGUACAGUGAUGCAUGCCAUAAUCCCAGUGACUCUGCAGGCAGGAGGAUUGGGAGUUUAAAGCCAGCCUCAGCAACUUAGGCCCUAAGAAUUUAGCAAGACUCUGUCUCAAAAAAUAAAAAGGGCUGGGAUUAUAGCUCAGUGGUUGAGCACCCCUGAUUCAAUCCCUAGUACCAAAAAGCAUUUUUUCAGCACUAUUGAAUUUAUUACUCCCUUAAUUAACUUAGUAUAUUUCUCUUGUAUACAAAACUAGGAAAUAAAAUAUAUUUCUUUUCUUUCAGACUUGGCAUCAAAAGCUGACCCCAAGAAGUUAUCUCCAAAAAGGGACAUUUAUGAAAUAGAAUCAUCCCCAUGGGCUAUUGUGGAAAAUUUUAUUCCUGAGGGAUCCAUUUUCAGGGAUAUUUGGGAAUGCAAAUGUCAUUUUGAGCAAAAGGAGUGUUAUUUCAGGCAAUUUAUGAUGUACCAUGAAAACGUGCCCAUUUUUAUUCAACAUACUUACUCAAAAUGGAAAGAAAAUCUCUGAAUGUGAAAAAUGUAGAAAAAACUUCUAUUAUCAUUUAUUCUUUUGUCAACACAAAAAUCAUUCUAAAGAACUUUCUGAAUGUAAAGAGUACACAGAAAUUAUUAAUACCCCGUUCCUUAUUAAACAACAGAUAAUUCAAUAUGGUAACCAAUGCAAUGGAUGUAAGAAAUGCUGGAAGACCUUUAUUCAUUGUUCACAACUUAAAAAACAUUUGAGAAUUAAUAAUGGUGAAAAACGCUAUGAAUGUAGAGAAUGUGGAAAGGCUUUUAAUUAUGGCUCAGAACUAAUGUUACAUCAGAGAAUUCACAUUGGUGAGAAACCCUAUGAAUGUUAGGAAUGUAGGAAGGCCUUUAGACAGAGAUCACAACUGACUCAACAUCAGAGACUUCAUACUGGUGAGAAACCCUAUGAAUGUGAGCAAUGUGAGAAAGCUUUUAUUUGUGGCUUUCAACUUACUGAACAUCUGCAAUUCCAUACUGGUGAGAAUCCUUAUGAAUAUAAAGAGUGUGGAAAGACUUUUAGGCAUCGCUCACACCUUACCAUACAUCAAAGAAUUCUUAUGGGUGAGAAAUCCUAUGAAUGCACGGAAUGUGGGAAAGCCUUUAGCUAUUACUCAAGCUACUCUCACCAUCAGAAGAUUAAUUCUGGUCAGAAGCCUUAUGAAUAUAGUGAAUGUGGAAAGGCCUUUCAUAAUUGGCUUAAAACUUAACCUACAUCAGAGAAUUCAUACUGGUGAGAAACCCUAUGAGUGUAAGGAAUGUGGGAAGACUUUUAGACAGUAUUCACACCUCAAAAGACAUUAACAAAUUCAUACUCAUGAGAAACCCCAUGAAUGUAUGAUAUGUGGUAAAACCUUUAGACUUCAUUCACACCUUAUUCAACAUCAGAGAAUUCACACUGGUGAAAAACCCUAUGAAUGUAAGGAAUGUGGAAAGACCUUUAGCUAUCACUCCAGCUUCUUGCAUCAUCAGAGAAUGCAUUCUGGAAAGAAACCUUAUGAAUGUGUCAAGGUCUUUAAUCAUGGCUUACAACUCAAUCUACAUCAGAUACUUCAUACUGGUGAGAUACCAGUAAAGUUUCCUCUCCUCCCUCCACAUCCAAGUUUCACUUCAUAAAAUUAUUUUUGGAGAAAAUACACCUUUUCCUCUCUAAUUUCCAUAUAAGAGAAAAUGUACGACCCUUGACCAUCUGAAAUGGGCAUAUUCCCUAAACUAAUGUUCUUAAGUUCCAUCCAUUUUCCUGCAAAUGAUGUAAUUAAAGUUUUCUUCAUGGCUGAACAUAACUCCCUUAUGAUAUAUACC
rnacentral:lncRNA from 1 species